GACCCCGCAGCGACGUGGCUAGAGUAGGGUCUGGAGAGAGCUCCCACUGUGGCGAGUCCUGUCGUUGGAUUCCCGCGGCGCCCCGUGGGCUCCGCCCCGACGGUGCUACCAAACCCUGUUCGAUUUUAGAAUCGUACAUUCCCAGAGGGAAUCCUAGACCCCUCAUUUUACAGUUGAGGAAACAGGCCCAAGUAGCAUGACUUGUUCGCGCCGCUAGUCGAAGGAGCAGCAGCCCCGAUCCCUUGACUCUGGGGCACUGCUUUCCCUUUAGCUCAUUUUUGGAGGAAAUGGGUCAGCCCUUGCUCGCCCUUUGGUGAUUGCCGCCACAGGACUUCCCGCCGGCUAACUCAGCGUGCCCAAGUCCCGUGACUUAGUGCCAGGACGGUGCUGUGACCCGUUAUCCCCUGUCGGGUUUUACCUCCCCCUGGGAGAGCUCAGCCCUGGAUCCCGGCGUGCGGCGGAGCCUCUCUGGAGCCCGGACGGGACAGCCCACCAGGGUCUGCUUCUGUGAGGGGCCGAGGCGUCAUUCCGCGAAGCCUUUUCCUUGCUGUCGCCAUGUGAAGAAGGAUGUGUUUGCUUCUCCUUCUGCCAUGAUUGUAAGUUUCCUGAAGCCUCUCCAGCCAUGCCAAACUGAAGCUGCUGGAAGGUACACAUCUUGGGAGUUUGCCCUUUGAAGCUCACCUGUGGACCUUUUUUCCUUUCGAAAAGCAGCAUAAGCUGCAAUAAAAAUUUGGUUUCAAGAUAACAAAGUCAGUCCCCAAAAAUCAGUAUUGAGAGUCACUGACAUUAAAUGAUGAAGAUACAAGGAUGGUGUGGGGACCUUUACUCUUCAAAGAUGAGCUAUACAUUCCCCUGAAAAGGCUGUCUGAAGACAGGGGAAGGCUGGAGAUGGCAACUUUGGCCUCUGCCAAGUACUCGUGCUAUUUUCUGUAUGUGA
rnacentral:antisense_RNA from 1 species